rnacentral:rRNA from 1 species
AACGAACGCUGGCGGCGCGCCUUACACAUGCAAGUCGAACGGCAGGAGAGGGGCUUGCUUCUCUCCUAGAGUGGGGGACGGGUGAGGAACACGUGGGUAAUCUACCCUUAGGAUGGGGAUGGCUGCUAGAGAGAGCAGAUACUGCCUACUACACUCGGCAUAUCGCGAGGGGUGUUGAGAAAAGGCAGCUAUGGCUUAGCUUGAGUCUGAGCUUGCGUCCGAUUAGCUAGUUGGUGAGGUAAAGGCCCACCAAGGCGACGAUGGGUAUCCGGCCUGAGAGGGUGAACGGACACACUGGAACUGAGACACGGCCCAAACUCCUACGGGAGGCAGCAGCGAAGAAUAUUCCGCAAUGGGCGGAAGUCUGACGGAGCGACGCCGCGUGGAUGAAGAAGGCCGAAGAGUUGUAAAGUCCUUUUGGUGAGGAAGAAUAAGGGUGAGAGGGAACGCUCAUGUGAUGACGGUAAUCGAAGAAUAAGCCCCGGCUAACUACGUG